rnacentral:rRNA from 1 species
UACGUAGGCAGCAAGCGUUGUUCGGAAUUACUGGGCGUAAAGAGUGUGUAGGCGGUGCUCCAAGUCUGUUGUGAAAUCUCCCGGCUUAACUGGGAGGGUGCAGCGGAAACUGGAGUGCUUGAGUGUGGGAGAGGUAAGCGGAAUUCCAGGUGUAGCGGUGAAAUGCGUAGAUAUCAGGAGGAACACCUGUGGUGUAGACAGCUUACUGGACCACGACUGACGCUGAGACACGAAAGCGUGGGUAGCAAACGGG